UCCAGAUCCAAGUGGUAGUAUCAGGGCCCUUAGCUAGUGUUCUUGAGAAAUGGCCGGGUCUGGCCCAUUCCUCAAAAGAUGUUUUUACAGGAUCCCUAUCCACAACAAUUUUUACUUCUGGUUCCGGCGAACGAAUAAUCAUUAAGUCCUCCUCUUUCCGGACAAGACAUACAAAGAGACCCGCCAACUGUCUUUUUAGUGAA
rnacentral:rRNA from 1 species